AAAAAUAUGGAAUGCUUCACAAAUUUUUGUGUCAUCCUUGAACAGGGGCCAUGCUAAUCUCUAUCAUUCUAAUUUUAGUAUAUGUGCUGCCAAAGUGAGCAU
rnacentral:snRNA from 1 species